rnacentral:rRNA from 1 species
CUGUAGAGAUAUGGUUUCCCCUUCGGGGGCAACGGUGACAGGUGGUGCAUGGUUGUCGUCAGUUCGUGUCGUGAGAUGUUGGGUUAAGUCCCGCAACGAGCGCAACCCUUGAUCUUAGUUGCCAUCAUUUAGUUGGGCACUUUAAGGUGACUGCCGGUGACAAACCGGAGGAAGGUGGGGAUGACGUCAAAUCAUCAUGCCCCUUAUGACCUGGGCUACACACGUGCUACAAUGGACGAUACAAACGGUUGCCAACUCGCGAGAGGGAGCUAAUCCGAUAAAGUCGUUCUCAGUUCGGAUUGUAGGCUGCAACUCGCCUACAUGAAGCCGGAAUCGUUAGUAAUCGCGGAUCAGCAUGCCGCGGUGAAUACGUUCCCGGGCCUUGUACACACCGCCCGUCACACCACGAGAGUUUGUAACACCCGAAGUCGGUGAGGUAACCU